UGGGGAAUAUUGCACAAUGGGCGAAAGCCUGAUGCAGCGACGCCGCGUGAGGGAUGACGGCUUUCGGGUUGUAAACCUCUUUCAGUAGGGACGAAGCGCAAGUGACGGUACCUGCAGAAGAAGCACCGGCUAACUACGUGCCAGCAGCCGCGGUAAUACGUAGGGUGCGCGCGUUGUCCGGAAUUACUGGGCGUAAAGAGCUCGUAGGCGGUUUGUCACGUCGUCUGUGUAACCCUAGGGCUUAACCCUGGACGUGCAGGCGAUACGGGCUGACUUGAGUACUACAGGGGGGAAUGGAAUUUCUGGUGUAGCGGUGGAAUGCACAGAUAUCAGGAAGAAAACCGAGGGCGAAGGCAGGUCUCUGGGGAGUAACUGACGCUGAGGGGCGAAAGCAUGGGUAGCGAACAGG
rnacentral:rRNA from 1 species